UCCGGUAUAGUGUAGGGGUUAACAUAACCCGCUUUCAAAAGAAUUUCUUUCUUUAGAGCCGGGUAGCCCCGGGUUCGAUUCCCGGUACCGGAA
rfam:Pseudogymnoascus sp. 05NY08 unplaced genomic scaffold scaffold_30, whole genome shotgun sequence.